GAUGUCGUGCUUAUAAAGAAACUU
rnacentral:siRNA from 1 species